GUGAGCCACCAUGUGGACUCUGGGCAUUGAGUCCUCUGGAAGAAUGGCUGAUGCUCUUAAUCACUGUACCAUCUCUACAGAAAGAGCUAUUUUCUUAACACUGUGUGGUGUCUGUGUUCAUGUGUGUGAGCUAAUGCACAUGUGGAGGCUUAGAGGUUGCUGUCAGAUGUCUUUCUAAAUCUCUUCUCCACUUUACCUUUUGCGACAGGAUCUCUCACUGAGCCUGGAGCAGCCUAGCCAAUGAAUUCCAGUGAUCUGCCAGUCUCUUCCUCCCCACUGCUGGGUUCCGCAGGCAAUUUCUCCACUUACGAGGUAAUUGUGAAGUAUAGCUGAGAGAGACAUUGAAGAAAUUAAUUCUGCUACAGAAAUUAAACUUGGUUGACUUCCCUGAGUCUACAAUGUUUGUCUUUUGAAAACAAGUCCAUUCGUCAGCAUCAUUCCUUGACACUUCAGUCUGUGGUUAAACUCUUCUCUUCUAAGAACAAUAGAAGAUCUGAGAAACAGUGUUUAAAGCAGCAUCUCCGAUUUGGCAGUUAACAAGGUUGUAUCUGACAUGUAUGCACAAUGACAAGCAGGAACCAACAGUCUGUGAGGAAAUGGUUGAUAACUGGUCUGGGACAUGGAAAAUAAAGUUGAGUCUUGACCAUUCUGUCCAAUCAACAAAGGGCCUAUUCAAAGGUUGAUGGAGACCUGGUACUGUGAGGCGGAAGAUACCUGGAAAACAUGAGCAUCUUUCAGUGCAAAACUAAAUUAUAAUGAUAUACCAUCCAACAUAAUAUAAAACAGGAAACCAUGAGUAAGGAAAAAUAAACGUAAUGAAAAA